AAGAGAGAGAGAGAGAGGGAGGGAGGGAGGGAGGGAGGGAGGGAGAGAGAGAGAGAACACUUCCUGGUUUUAAACAUGGUCUAAUUAACCCUCUUGAAACGUGGCUUCUAAACUCUUGUUUUAACUUCUUCCUAUCUCUGAUGACGUUCCACUCCAAAAAAACAAAGGGCUUCCUCUUUCAAAAUGACUGUAUUUUCAUUUCUUGGUAGAGGAACCUGUGGCUUGCCCCUGUUUCUGUGCUACAACUUCUGGCAACCAUCAGCCAUGCUGGCAACAGAACUUCUCGGCUGUGUGUGACUUUGUGAGAAAAUGCCAUGCUUCCAUCACUUCCACCAUGAGAGAAAAAUCAGUUUGAAACCAGGAAAGAAAGCUGGCUUACUGAUAUGUUCCAGUCUCUGCUAGAGAGAAGCUGCCUGAAGAUGGGUUACAGCAUGAGCCUGACCCCUCGGGGGAGGGCCUUCUCUGUGGCUGCUCCGGCCCCCUGGAACAAUCUCCCCGUGGAGA